UAUGCCCUAGGGCUAGUGGAAGACUUAAGAUGGCGGCGUUUGCACGGAGUGCAAUCACUGCGUCCUUACGGGGGUUGCAAGGCGUCCGAAGUAUGAGUCCACUAACAAAAGUCCAGAAACUCGCCAGUUAAUAGUAUUGUGUCUCUUCAAAAUAUCGGAGAAUAAUUUCUUUCUCGCUGAUCGCCUAACUUCUACUGACGAAGCUUGGAAGUUGCAGAAGAUGGAGUUCGCUCUUGUUGCCCAGGCUGGAAUGCAAUGGCAUGACCUUGGCUCACUGCAACCUCUGCCUCCCCAGUUCAAGUGGUUCUCCUGCCUCAGCCUCCCGAGUAGCUGAGAUUACAGGUACUGGCUCCUGUAUCACCCAGCUCUGGAGUUGAAAGAGCUCUUCAUUCCUGAGUCUCCUGUACCACUGAGAAUAGUUUCUUCAAAGGAAAGAAGCAACUGGAACACACAUAUAACACUAACCCUUCCAGCUGCAUUAUGAGGGACCAGUACCUGUCUCAAGGCAAAAUUAUGACUUAGUUCAUCCUCACCUCUGGAGGCCAGUAAAAGUGGGUUAUAGAAGAACAAAGAGGCAUCUAGAUCUUUCACUGGGUUAUUUGGAGAGAAACAUCUCCUACCGAAGGCCAGUUUAACAAGACUGGUAGAGGAGGUUAUCUUAUCUAAUUCACAGAAAUCAACACAUUGAGUCAAGAAAAAUGAAACACAGAAACACUCUAAAUAAAAGAAGAUAAGUCUUCAGAAACCAACCCUAAUGAAAUGAAGAUAUGUGAUUAACCUGACAGGAAAUUAAAAAGAGCAACCAUAAAGAGUCUCAUGGGAGCAAUGCAUGAACAAACUGAGAAUUUUCAUAAAGAAAUAAAAGAUAACAAAAAGUAUAAAGUUGAAGAAUACAAUAACUGGACUCAAAAAUUUAAUGUGUCCAACAGAAGAAUCGAUGAAGCAGAAGAAAGGGCUAUCAAACUUGUAGAUAGGCCAUUGGAAAUCAUGUAAUGUGAGGAGAAAAAAGAAAAAAGAUUGAAGAUAGUUUAAGAGACUUUUGAGACAUCCUCAAAGGGGAAUAAUUUAUACAUUACCAGAUGGAGAAGAUAGAGGGAAAAGGACAGAAAACAUAUUUGAAGAAAUAAUGUCAGAAAACCUCAUAAUUCUGGCAAGGAAAUAGAAAUUUAGAUCUAAGAAUCUCGAACAUCAGGUAUGAUGAAUCCAAGGAGACUCACACCAAACCAUAUUGUAAUUAAAUAAAGGUUAAAGACAAUCUUCAGAGCAGCAAGGGAAUAGUCUCUUCUUACAUACAAAAUGAUCCACGGAAGACUGUCAGCAGACUUCACCAGAAAACUUUCACGCCAGAAGGCAGUCGUGAUAUAUACAAAAAGCUGAAAGGAAAACACUGCCAUCCAGGAAUACUAUCUCCAACUAUCCUGUGUUUCAAAAAUUAAGGAGAAAUAUAAAGUUCUCAAACAAAAGAUGUGGGAGUUUACCACCACUAGACCUGCACGGGAAGAAUUGCUAAAGGGAGUCCUUCAAGCUGUAGUAAAAGAGUGCUAAUUAGAAACAUGAAAAC
rnacentral:lncRNA from 1 species